CAUUUUUUUGCAAAAUAAAGAACGAUAGCAUCUCCUAGUAGACUUUAUGGCACUGUCAGCAACACUGGGUUUUCCAUCGCGUAGAGCAUAUGAUAAAAAACUGCUUUGUAGUGGAAGCAGUUCUAAAAUCCAAUACUGUAGCUCUUUCUCUGGAAGGUUGGGAAUCAUUGAAUUAACCCAGUUAAGACAAUCAAAUGAUACAGAGACAGUACUCCUGAAGCGAUCCAAUCUU